AUCAUUCAAUCGGUAGGAGCGACAGGCGGAGUGUACAAAGGGCAUGGACAUAGUCAACGCGAGCUGAUGACUCGCGCUUAAUAGGAAUUCCUCGUUGAAGACCAACAAUUGCAAUGAUCUAUCCCCAUCACGAUGAAAUUUCAAAGAUUACCCGGGCCUAUCGGCCAAGGCUAUAAGCUCGUUGAAUACAUUAG